AUUGAACGCUGGCGGCAGGCUUAACACAUGCAAGUCGAGCGAGCGGCGGACGGGUGAGUAAUGUCUGGGAAACUGCCUGAUGGAGGGGGAUAACUACUGGAAACGGUAGCUAAUACCGCCUACCCUCAGAUUUGCCCAACUGGGAUUAGCUAGUAGGUGGGGUAAUGGCUCACCUAGGCGACGGUCCCUAGCUGGGAUGAGAGGAUGACCAGCCACACUGGAACGGAGACACGGUCCAGACGCCUACGGGAGGCAGCAGUGGGGAAUAUUGCACAAUGGGCGCAAGCCUGAUGCAGCCAUGCCGCGUGUGUGAAGAAGGCCUUCGGGUUGUAAAGCACUUUCAGCGAGGAGGCGUUACUCGCAGAAGAAGCACCGGCUAACUCCGUGCCAGCAGCCGCGGUAAUUC
rnacentral:rRNA from 1 species